rnacentral:rRNA from 1 species
AGCAGCCGCGGUAAUUCCAGCUCCAAUAGCGUAUAUUAAAGUUGUUGCAGUUAAAAAGCUCGUAGUUGAAUUUCGGGGUCAGUAAGUUGGUCGUGCCACUGGUAUGCACUGGCUUUACUGACUCCUCCUUCUUGAAGAACUGUGAUGCCAUUAAUUUGGUGUUGCAGGGAAACAGGACUGUUACUUUGAAAAAAUUAGAGUGUUUAAAGCAGGCUAACGCUUGAAUACAUUAGCAUGGAAUAAUGAAAUAGGACGUUUGACCCUAUUUUGUUGGUUUCUAGGAUCGACGUAAUGAUUAAUAGGGAUAGUUGGGGGCAUUAGUAUUCAAUUGUCAGAGGUGAAAUUCUUGGAUUUAUUGAAGACUAACUACUGCGAAAGCAUUUGCCAAGGAUGUUUUCAUUAAUCAAGAACGAAAGUUAGGGGAUCGAGGACGAUCAGAUACCGUCGUAGUCUUAACCAUAAACUAUGCCGACUAGGGAUCGGAUGAUGUUAAUUUUUAAUGUACUCAUUCGGCGCCUUA